rnacentral:rRNA from 1 species
GACGAACGCUGGCGGCGUGCCUAAUACAUGCAAGUAGAACGCUGAAGGAGGAGCUUGCUUCUCUGGAUGAGUUGCGAACGGGUGAGUAACGCGUAGGUAACCUGCCUGGUAGCGGGGGAUAACUAUUGGAAACGAUAGCUAAUACCGCAUAAUAGUAGAUGUUGCAUGACAUUUGCUUAAAAGGUGCAAUUGCAUCACUACCAGAUGGACCUGCGUUGUAUUAGCUAGUUGGUGAGGUAACGGCUCACCAAGGCGACGAUACAUAGCCGACCUGAGAGGGGGAUCGGCCACACUGGGACUGAGACACGGCCCAGACUCCUACGGGAGGCAGCAGGAGGGAAUCUUCGGCAAUGGACGGAAGUCUGACCGAGCAACGCCGCGUGAGUGAAGAAGGUUUUCGGAUCGUAAAGCUCUGUUGUAAGAGAAGAACGAGUGUGAGAGUGGAAAGUUCACACUGUGACGGUAUCUUACCAGAAAGGGACGGCUAACUACGUG